rnacentral:rRNA from 1 species
AUUGAACGCUGGCGGGAUGCCUUACACAUUCAAGUCGAGCGGAGUGGCGAACGGGUGAGUAAUGUAUCGGAACGUGCCCCGUAGCGGGGGAUAACUACGCGAAAGCGUAGCUAAUACCGCAUACUAUUAGAGCUGCAUAUAGCGGAUUAGCUAGUUGGUGGGGUAACGGCGCACCAAGGCGACGAUCCGUAGCUGGUUUGAGAGGAGGACCCGCCACACUGGGACUGAGACACGGCCCAGACUCCUACGGGAGGCAGCAGUGGGGAAUGUUGGACAAUGGGGUAAACCCUGAUCAAGCCAUCCCGCAUGUGCGAUGAAGGCCUUCGGAUUGUAAAGCACUUUUGGCAGGAAAGCGGUACCUGCAGAAUAAGCACCGGCUAACUACGUGCCAGCAGCCGCGGUAAUAC